CCUUGUCCACAACCACUUUUAAAUGCUGGCUGGCCUCUCCCAACCUUCUACCAUGCUCUGGGAGCACUUCUCCUGCUAUUACAGUAUGCAUGUGUUCAGGAAAUGAAAAUGAAUUAAAAGAGCCUGAAAGAAACAUAAUUUAGAAGGAAACUCAAGAUUUUCUGUGCCCUCCACAAAGGAGAAAUGACAGGAAAGGGUAACAUCAGUGAAAGGAUGGGCCCGCAACUCUUCUAUAGACACUGAGGAUGUCAAAGAAGAAAUGAAGUCAACAAAGUAUUUGUAAAGACCAGUGAACACUGCAUCAGAAAAAUGAAAAAAAAAAGAAGAAAUUCAUACACUACUAAAGAUGAGCAUCAACUAUGCCAAAGCAGAAAAUUCCAGCAGUGCAGCCCGGUAUUGUCUCCAGGGCUUGUACCCUUUUCACCUCUCGUCUACGGAAAAACUAUGAGAAGACUAUGAACUAGCUUGAUAUAGAGGCACAUGUGUAAAGGGACCACAUACAGUUGGAGUAGAUACCUAACUACUUCAGUCACAUUAUCCAACAUUUGACUCUCCAGUUCACAAUCAAGGCCAACACUUUCUCGCAAAUAGUCUAUUUAUUGAAAGAGCUUACCUGUAUCACAGCUGGUCCCUCUGAUCAGCCAGGUGAGAAGCAAGUGAGGUGGAGUCAGCAUGUCUUUCAGAGGGAUGGUUGUGUGGCAGUCCCCAGAGAGAAGGCUUGGUGAUUCUGUUAUUACCAAGCUGUUGCAGCAAAAGCUCAGCAAAGAACCUUGUGAGAUUUAAUAUUUCUAAUGGCUAUAUUUGUUGGCUAAAAAGUGCUUGCAAGGCAUUAUGGCUGAAGAGCGGAACUAGUAGAACACCAUAAUGUCCAAUAUUGGAGAAUCAUUCUACACGCAGUUUUUAAAAGUCACAUUUUUGGAGAAUAAUAACACGGAAAAUGCUCACUAUACAAUUUUUAGUGAGAAAAAUCAAAAUACAAAACUUAAUGUAUGUUUAUACACAUGCAUAAUUUCAACUUUGUGGGAAAAAAUAUGUGCACAUAGAAAAGGGAGGAAAUACACCAAAACGUCAGCAGUGGCUACUUCUGAAUGGUCAGAUUA